UACGAAGGGGGCUAGCGUUGUUCGGAAUUACUGGGCGUAAAGGGAGCGUAGGCGGUUUAAUAAGUUGGAUGUGAAAGCCCAGGGCUCAACCCUGGAAUUGCAUUCAAGACUGUUUUACUUGAAUUCGGUAGAGGUUGGUGGAAUUCCCAGUGUAGAGGUGAAAUUCGUAGAUAUUGGGAAGAAUAUCCGUGGCGAAGGCGGCCAACUGGACCGACAUUGACGCUGAGGCUCGAAAGCGUGGGGAGCAAACAGG
rnacentral:rRNA from 1 species